rnacentral:rRNA from 1 species
GAUGAACGCUGGCGGCGUGCCUAAUACAUGCAAGUCGAGCGAACAGACGAGGAGCUUGCUCCUCUGACGUUAGCGGCGGACGGGUGAGUAACACGUGGAUAACCUACCUAUAAGACUGGGAUAACUUCGGGAAACCGGAGCUAAUACCGGAUAAUAUAUUGAACCGUAUGGUUCAAUAAUGAAAGACGGUUUUGCUGUCACUUAUAGAUGGAUCCGCGCCGCAUUAGCUAGUUGGUAAGGUAACGGCUUACCAAGGCAACGAUGCGUAGCCGACCUGAGAGGGUGAUCGGCCACACUGGAACUGAGACACGGUCCAGACUCCUACGGGAGGCAGCAGUAGGGAAUCUUCCGCAAUGGGCGAAAGCCUGACGGAGCAACGCCGCGUGAGUGAUGAAGGUCUUCGGAUCGUAAAACUCUGUUAUUAGGGAAGAACAAAUGUGUAAGUAACUAUGCACGUCUUGACGGUACCUAAUCAGAAAGCCACGGCUAACUACGUG